AGGGUGAUUGCAUUAGUAUCCACGAAUAUGUUGCAUUGCAUAGUUAGUUGUUGAUGUGGGUAAAUGCUGAAUGAUCCAAUAGUCUCAGACAGGAAGUCCAGGAGCCUUUGACUAUGCCCUGGCAGGUAUAGAGAAGUCCAGGAGCCUUUGACUACGCCCUGGCAGGUAUAGUAAAGACCAGGAGCCUUUGACUACGCCCUGGCAAUGGUCAGUACAAAGGUGUUAUAUACACAUAUACAUAUAUGACAGGAAGACCAGGUGCUCGAUUCUACGCCCUGGCACAGAGUUACUGGGACUAUGUGGGGACAGGUUUACUCUUGAUGUGGUUUAUCUGUGUUAUGACGCAUUCCAUGAGAUCAUAUUUUAAUGAAUUGUUUUACUGUUCUACUCACUGGGCUAUAGAGCUCAUCCCACUCCCUUAACCCCAGUUUUGCAGGUUCAGUGUACAGUGUACAGGGACAGUCCAGCAGAGUAUAGAAAGAGUAAAGAGAUUUGUAAUAGCUUAGAGUGGACAUGUAAUAUUAAAGAGAUGUAAUAGUUGUGUAUAAAGUUAGAAAUGUGCUUGACUUAGUGAUGUAUGUGGUGUACAUGAUCUGGAGAUGUAAAUAUGUUUUACUGUAUGUGAAAUACCAGGCUUAACAGGUAUGAGUGACCCAUCUAGAGUAAGCUCUAGUCAGGGGUACAGAGUACAGAGUACAGAGUACAGAGAUAGUGCAUGCACAGGUUAAGCCUUGGUACAGAGAAAAGAGUUUUUAUUUUGUCACAGAAAAUGUAUGAUCAUGUAUGAGUUUUACAGGUACACAGAGAGUAUAGCAGGCUUGCUACGGGUUCUGGCGGCCUUAAGCCGACCUGAAUCCUAGCUCCGGUGACGGUCCAUUUUGGGGUCGUUACACUUCUCUCCCACUUCUUCCCAGCAAACAGGUGAUCUGCACUUCCUCCCAUACAAAGCUUCAUAAGGAGCCAUCCCGAUGCUAGCAUGAUGGCUGUUAUUGUAGCCAAACUCCACCAAAGGUAGAUGCUGCCUCCAAGAACCGCCAAAAUCUAACACACACAUUCUGAGCAUAUUCUCUAUGGUUUGGAUGGUCCUCUCUGACUGUCCGUCAGUCUGUGGAUGGAAAGCAGUGCUAAAAUCCAACCUUGUGCCUAUAGCACUCUGCCAAAAUCUGGAGGUGAACUGGGGUCCUCUAUCUGACACUAUAGACACUGGAACCCCAUGCAACUUUACUAUCUCUUCCACAUAAACCUGUGAUAACUUGUCUACAGAAUAAUUACUCCUAACCGGGAUGAAGUGAGCAGAUUUAGUCAGUCUGUCCACGAUCACCCAUAUGGAGUCUAGUCUGUUGGACACUGCCGGUAAGCCCACCACAAAAUCCAUGGCUAUGUUCUCCCAUUUUCACUCUGGAAUCGGUAGUGGGUUAAGCAUUCCAGUCGGCUUUUGAUGUUCCAGUUUCACCCUCUGACAAACCUCACAGGCGGACGCAAACUGCGCCACUUCUUUCUUCAUAGCUGGCCACCAAUAUACUCUUUUCAAAUCCUGAUACAUCUUGGUGGCUCCAGGGUGAACACUGUACUUGGCAUUAUGAGCUUCCCUCAUACCGUCUCCUUUCAGACUUAUGUCAUCUGGUACACAUAGUCGGUUGCCAUAGCGGAGGAUCCCUUUGCUGUCAAAUCUGAACUCUGCACUGUUGCCUGACUGAACAGUCCUGGCAAUUUUCACUAACUCAGGGUCCUCAUGCUGUUUCUGAGCUACCUGCUCCAGAAAUACGGGUGUCACCCUCAUCUGUGCUAUCAACGCACCGGUACCAGACAACUCUAGCUGUAGCCCUUCAUCGAUGAGCUUAUAAAACUCCAUCACCACUGGUCUUCUCUCUGCUGCUAUAUGGGACAAACUGCCAAGUGAUUUCCGGCUUAGGGCGUCUGCCACAACAUUCACCUUACCCGGAUGAUACUGAAUCCUGCAAUCAUAGUCACUGAGCAGUUCUACCCAUCUUCUCUGCCUCAAAUUCAGCUCUUUCUGACUCAAGAUGUAUUGUAAAUUUUGUGAUCUGUAAAGAUCUCGCAUUUAACCCCAUAAAGGUAAUGCCUCCACAUCUUGAGUGCAAAGAUAACUGCCGCCAUCUCUAGGUCAUGUGUGGGGUAAUUCAACUCAUACUUCUUCAACUGUCUAGAAGCAUAAGCAAUCACCCUGUCGUUCUGCAUCAAAACACAACCCAGUCCCACUCGGGACGCAUCACAGAACACUGUGAAGUCCUCAUUAUUGACUGGCAGAGCUAACACCGGUGCUGAUGUUAAUAUUCUCUUUAGCUCUUCAAAGCUCUCUUCACAUUGGUCCGACCACACGAACCUCUGGUUCUUCUUUAUCAGUUUGGUCAUAGGAGCAGCAAUCUUUGAGAAGUCCUGAAUGAACCUCCGGUAGUAACCUGCCAAACCCAAAAAGCUUUUAAUCUCUGUCACUGUAGUGGGUCUGGGCCAAUUAGCUACCGCCUCUAUCUUCUUGGGGUCUACUUUAAUACCCUCUGCUGAUACUACAUGCCCCAAGAAUGAAAUGCUCCUCAACCAGAACUCACACUUAGAGAACUUGGCAUACAAGCCAUGCUCUCUCAGGGUCUGCAGAACUGUCCUCAGAUGAUGGGCAUGCUCCUCUGUAUCUCUGGAAUAUACUAAGAUAUCAUCGAUGAAGACAAUAACAAAGUGAUCCAGAUACUGGCUAAACACUUUGUUCAUGAGGUCCAUGAAUGCUGCAGGGGCAUUAGUCAACCCGAACGGCAUUACUAAGAACUCAUAAUGCCCAUAUCUGGUCCUGAACGCUGUCUUUGGCACAUCUACUUCUCUAACUCUCAGUUGAUGAUACUCGAAUCUCAGAUCUAUUUUAGAAAAACAACCUGCUCCAGCUAGCUGGUCAAAUAGAUCGUCGAUCCUAGGCAGGGGAUACUUAUUCUUGGUAGUGACCUUGUUCAACUGCCUGUAGUCGAUACAAAGUCUGAGGGAUCCAUCCUUCUUUCUGACAAACAGCACUGGAGCAACCCAAGUUGAGGUACUAGGGCGGAUGAAACCCUUAUCUACCAACUCUUGCAACUGCUCUUUCAGCUCUUUUAACUCUGCUGGUGCCAUCCUGUAGGGAGGGAUAGAGAUCGGUCUGGUACCAGGCAGCAAUUCUAUUUCAAACUCUAUCUCCCUAUUAGGUGGUAGUCCUGGAAGUUCGUCUGGGAAGACGUCUGGAAAUUCUCUGACUACUGGUACUGAGGCGGGUUCCCUAACCUGUCGAUCUAGCUCUCUCACAUGAGCUAGAAACCCCUGACACCCCCUCCUGAGCAGCCUACAAGCCUGAAGGGCUGAUAUCAAACCUCUAGGUGUACCCCUCCUGUCUCCUCUGAAGACACACUCUAACCCAUCCUAGUCCCUGAGACUAACUACCUUGUCUCUGCAGUUCAAGGUAGCUCCAUGUGUAGAUAGCCAAUCCAUCCCUAGAAUGACAUCAAAAUCUGUCAAAUCUAGAACCACAAGGUCAGCUGGAAGGCAUCUACCCUCUAUGAACACUGGACUGAAAUGACAGACUGACUCUGCCAAAGAUGGGUCACAUUUGGGUCAACUGACCCAGAGAGGACACUCUAACUUAGAGACUAUCAGACCCAAUUUCUCCACAGCUCUCGAAGCAAUAAAAGAGUGAGAAGCACCGGGGUCCAUCAAAGCAUACACCUUAGAACACCCAAUGAUGAGAUUACCUGACACCACUGUGUUCGACGUGUCUGCCUCCAGCUGUGUCAGGGUGAAGAUCCGUGCCGGAGCUGAUGAACCUUGUAAUACCCGGCUAGACUCCGGUAUCGAAAUUCCUACCGACCGGUGGAAUCUCGGAUGUCGAAAACCUCUAGAAGAGUAAAAUCAUGUUUUCAUAAAAUGUUUUAAUGUAUUUUAUGAUUUUAAGUAAGAAAGAAAUUGAGUUUUGAAUGAAAAAGACCAUAGAGGCAUUUCCAGGUUUGGCCGCCGAAUCUCAAGUUCGGCCAUCGAACAUGGGAUAGUUUAGGAGGGCAAGUUAGGCUUCCGAAAGUGGCUUAGGUUCGGCCGCCGAACUUGCAUGAGUUUUGGAGGCACUUUAGGCUUCCGAACGUGGUCUGGACAGCCCCUAUAAAAGGGCUCCAUGGCCGAAACGGGCGAGCUUUCUCCCCAUUUUCGGCCAACGGUGAGUCCAUGUUCUCCCAUGGUUGGUUUUGUUGAUUUUCCUCCAAUCUUUCGAGUUUUAACUAAUUUUAUCUUGGUUUGAAGAUAUUUGAGCAAAAAGAGCAAGUUUUGGAGUUUGGAGACCUAAAGAGUGAGAUUUCUCCCAUCUCCGAGUUGGAUCGCCUCUCCUCUCGAUCUCCAAGAGGUAAGGGUAGAUCCUUAGCUCAUUUUAUGUUUUAAACAAGUUUUAUGAAGGUUUAUGGGGUAGAAAUGCAUGUUUAGGUUAAUAUUGAGUUUUUGGUUAAUGUUGUGUUUAUGAACAAUGUGAGUUGUAUAUGUAUGUUUGAUGUGUUGUAGUUAGGGUUUAGGAUAGUUUGAAGCCCCUAGGAGCUUAUGUAUGUGUGUAUGCAUGUUAUGGAAGUGUUGGUUUUGAGUUGUUUGAUUUGGGAGGCAAAUGUGCAUUGUAGGAGGCUGAGUUCUGCCCUUUGGAAGAACUCAGGUUCGGCAGCCGAAGGGACUUUCGGCCGCCGAACCUGCCUGUGGAGGCCAGCCUUUGGCUGCCGAACCCUACCCUCGAAAGUGGACUUUCGGCUCUGGAAGGGAGUUUCGGCCGCUGAAGGUGCCGCCGAACAUGCAUGAGUUUCGUCUCUGGAAGGAACCUUCGGCCGCCGAAAGUGCCGCUGAAGGUGCAUGACUUUCGGCUCUGGAGGGACUUUUGGCCGCCGAACCCUACCGCCGAAAGUGCCUUGUUCAGCCUUCCUUUGCAUGUUUUCUAUGAUUGUUUUAAGGUGUUUUAGGGGGUUUUUAGGGAAUGUUUUAGAGUCAUGUUCAUGUAUGUUUAGUCCCUCAUUUGAGUCCUCCUGUGUAGGUUCGGACCUGAGGAACCGAGAAUCCCAGGAGUGAGACAGCUGCUUCAGUGUCUUGUCAGAGCUAGCCUGAGGUGAGUAGAAUGACUCUUUAUGUUUCAAACCAAAUAGUGAAAGGUUUACCAUAAUUCACGCAUCAUGAAUGCCAUGAGAUAUAUUAGGAUGCUUGCAUUAGAAUUCACGAAUAUGUUGCAUUGCAUAUUAUGUUAUUGAUGUGGAUGAAUGUUGGAUGAUGCCUUAGCCCGCACUAUGAUAUGAUAUGAUAUGAGAUAGUGAUGAUACGGUAUGGAAGACCAGUGAGGCCCAUUCUACGCCCCUGGCACUAUGUAAGAGAAAGACCAGUGAGGCCCAUUCUACGCCCCUGGCAUGUUGGAAUGUUAUGCUAUGUUAAUGUAAGAGAAAGACCAGUGAGGCCCAUUCUACGCCCCUGGCACUAUUGGAAUGUGUAGUGGGCUAUCGGUGACAAGUUCAUCCUUGAUGUGUUAUGUUUGUGAUGUGAUGCAUUCCAUAAUAGCAUAUGUUUUAAAUGUUUUAUUAUUCUGCUCACUGGGCUCUAGUAGCUCACCCCAUUCCCUUAAUCCCCCAGGUUUGCAGGUACGGGCUAGUCCAGGAGGUCAGCAGGAUUAGAAGCGUUUUAUGUAAUAGUUAGUUGUGUACAUGAGAAUAUUGUGAUGUAAUGUAUUGAAUAGUCAUGUAAUGUUAAGAAUUAUAUUGAGGAUAGAAUUGUGCUUGGCCCUAGUGUAUGUUAAUCCCUUUUUGAUACAUGAUCUUUUUAAUGAGAUGUUUCAUUGAUGUUUAUGUAAACCAAACUUACUGUAUGUAUGUAUGUUACCCCAUUGGAGCAUUGAUGAGGACUCCAGUGUGGGGUUGAUGUUUAUGUUUAUGAGUUGUGCAUGCACAGGUUAAGUUUGGUAAAUGAAUGAGAAGGUUCAAAAUUUUUAUGAAUAUGUUGAUCAUGUAUGGGAUUAAACAGGUAUGCAGGUGGUAUGUCAGGCUGGCUACGGGUCCCGGCGACCUUAUGCCGAUCUGGAUCCUAGCGCCGUUAGCGGUCUGAAUUCUUGGUCGUUACAGAUUGGUAUUAGAGCCCUAGGUUCAUAUGGUCGGACCUAUAGUGUGUCGGGCUCAUAGAUGUUCUAGAAGGUCAAGCACAAUAGGAAAAAUCAUGUCCACUAGGAUAGGAUGUAGAGUCCUGUCUUGAUUGAUGAUGUGAAAUGCCAUGAUUUUAUGCAUGAGCAUUGAUGAUAUGCUAUGUAUGUGAUGUAUAUGAUGCGGGUUCAUGUGUUUCCACAUGAACCAUUUGAUGCUAAUGUUUUAUGUGAUGUGUGCUGUUUUUCAGUAAGCGAGAUGAGAGGAACUCGUCGAUCUGCACGAUUGACUAGAGUCCCACCAGAAAAUGAAGGCACGGAUGCCCGUGCUCCAGCAUUGCCUAGGGCAAUAUCCUGCAGGUCUAGCAGGGAGAGAACAUCAAGGGACCCUAGAAGGUCUUUUGAUGUGAGCAGAAGGGGGACAGUUCAAGGUGGAGUGUCAGAAGAUGUGGGGGAGGAUAUGGAUGUGGAUCAGAGGAGGGAUGGCAGUCUUGGAGUGAGUAUGUCUGAAGAGGGCAUGGGAGAGUCUCAAGGAGGCACUCAGGCCUCGGGAUUUGUUCAGCCACCCCAGUACCCACCCUUUUCACAAAAUCCUGGGUAUUCGAUGGGAGGUACAUCGGAUUACCCUAGCUUUAAUCCUUACCCUUCUCAUAUGCCAUACCGACCUUUCUACCCACCAUACCCGCAGUACCCUAUGUACCCACCCCCAUCUUUCUACCCAGAUACAGCAAAUCCUACUCCGGGGAAUAUUGCACCUCCUCCACCACCAGCAGAACCGGAAACCCAAGUACCUAAACCUAGCUCAUCUGGAGGGAGCAAGGUCAAGAUGACCUAUUACAUGAAGCUGGGUGCACCCCAGUUUGAAACAGGUGAUGACUCGUUUGAGUACCUUGGGAGGGUCAAGAUGAUUACAGAUGAGAUAGGGACUGAUGAUAGUAAAGCCAUUCAGAUGGCUAGGUUCACACUGAAAUGUAAGAAGGCUCGAGAGUGGUUUAAAAACUAUGUGAACCCGAGGGUGGAUAGUCUUUCCUGGGAGGAAUUUGCUAAUGAGUUCGCUGGAUGGGCUUUCCCUGACAGUUCAAGGGAGUUGAAGAUGAUCGAAUUUGAGCAGUUGAGGCAGAUGGAGGAGAUGAGUGUGAAUGAGUACACAGACAGGUUCUUGGAACUGUUGCCAUUUGCUGGGCAAAAUCUGGACACAGAUCAGAAGAAGUCAAGGAGGUAUAUCAUGAAGCUUCAUUCCAAGUAUUCCUCCUUGAUCCAGUCAGCAGAGAGGAAGAGUUUCCAUGCCAUAGUGGAUAUGGCUCGGAGGAUGGAGGCUAGUGCAAUAAUCGAAGGGAAAGUCAAGCAGUCAGUAGCACAGCCUUCUGGUUCCAAGACCCUAGGUGGGGGAAGGUUAGAUCCUUCUUCUUUGAGUUCAGGUAGUAAGAGGUGGAGCAGUACCACCAAGAAGCCAAAGAAGAAUAAGUUCUAGAACAAGAUCAAGUUAGGUCUGGGAUUAGGAAGUGGCUCGAGCUCAGGUGCAGACAAUGCAACAUGUAUGAAGUGUGGGAAGCCGCAUAAGGGAGUAUGUCGAUUUGGGACGACAGCCUGCUUCAAAUGUGGGCAGGAGGGACACAUGGCACGGGAGUGUCCUAGAGCAGCUUUUGUGGCACAGUCCCAGCAGACAGCUUCUGAAAGUGUGGCUCAGCUAACAGCUCCAGCCGCUACGCAGGCCAGUGGCAGAGGCAGAGGGAGAGGGGCAGCCUCUUCUUCAGCGGGUUUCAGGGGUGAAGGUCCAUCAGCUCCAGCACUUAUCUUCACCAUGACACAGCAGGAGGCAAAUACAUCCAACACUGUGGUGUCAGGUAAUCUCAUCAUUGGUUUUUCAGAUGUUUAUGCCUUAAUGGACCCUGGUGCAUCUCAUUCUUUCAUUGCUCCGAGGGCCGUCGAGAGGUUGGGUUUAAUGGUCUCUAGGUUAGAGUGUCCCCUAUGGGUCAGCGGACCCAAGUGUGACCCGUCAGUGGCAGAUUCAGUCUGCCAAUGUAGUCCAAUUUUUGUUGAGGGGAGAUACCUUUCAGCCGACCUUGUAGUUCUAGAUUUGACAGAUUUUGACGUCAUUCUAGGGAUGGAUUGGCUAUCUACCCAUGGUGCUACCUUGGACUGCAGAGACAAGGUAGUCAGGUUCAGAUGUCAGGAUGGGUCAGAGGUUGUCUUCAGAGGAGAUAGGAGGGGUACACCUAGAGGUUUGAUAUCAGCCCUACAGGCUCGUAGGCUGCUCAGGAGGGGUUGUCAGGGUUUUCUACCUCAUGUGAGAGAGCUGGAUAGUCAUGUCAGAGAGCCCGCCCCAGUGCCCGUGGUCAAAGAGUUUUUAGACGUCUUCCCAGACGAGCUGCCAGGUUUACCACCUGCUAGGGAGAUAGAGUUUGAAAUGGAAUUGAUGCCUGGAACCAGACCGAUCUCUAUCCCUCCCUACAGGAUGGCACCAGCAGAACUGAAGGAGCUUAAGGAGCAGUUGCAAGAGCUAGUAGACAAGGGCUUCAUCCGACCGAGUACCUCAACUUGGGGUGCUCCAGUACUGUUUGUGAAAAAGAAAGAUGGAUCCCUUAGACUUUGUAUCGACUACAUGCAGUUGAACAAAGUCACUACCAAGAAUAAGUACCCAUUGCCGAGGAUCGACGAUCUAUUCGACCAGCUAGCAGGAGCAGGUUGUUUCUCCAAGAUAGAUCUGAGAUCUGGGUACCAUCAGCUGAGGAUAAGAGAAGAGGAUGUGCCGAAGACAGCGUUCAGGACCAGAUAUGGGCACUAUGAGUUCCUUGUAAUGCCGUUCGGGUUAACCAAUGCCCCUGCAGCAUUCAUGGAUCUCAUGAAUAGAGUUUUCAGUCAAUACCUGGAUCACUUUGUUAUUGUCUUCAUAGAUGAUAUCUUAGUGUAUUCCAGGAAUGCAGAGGAGCAUGCCCAUCAUCUGAGGGUAGUCUUGCAGACCUUGAGGGAACACGGCUUGUAUGCCAAGUUCUCCAAGUGUGAGUUCUGGUUGAGGAGCAUCUCAUUCUUGGGGCAUGUUGUGUCAGAAAAUGGAAUCGAGGUGGACCCCAAGAAAGUGGAAGCUGUAGCUAACUGGCCUAGACCCACUACAGUGGCAGAGAUCAAGAGCUUCUUGGGUUUGGCAGGUUACUAUAGGAGAUUCGUUCAAGACUUCUCUAAGAUUGCAGCUCCUAUGACCAGACUGACUAGGAAGAACCAGAGGUUUGUGUGGACCGACCAGUGUGAAAAGAGCUUUGAAGAGCUAAAGAAGAGGUUGAUGUCGGCACCGGUGUUAGCUCUACCAACUAGUAAUGAAGACUUCAUGGUUUUCUGUGAUGCGUCCCGUGUGGGACUGGGUUGUGUACUGAUGCAGAAUGAAAGGGUGAUUGCUUAUGCUUCUAGGCAGCUGAAGAAGCACGAGUUGAAUUACCCUACACAUGACCUAGAGAUGGCAGCUGUGAUCUUUGCACUCAAGAUGUGGAGGCAUUACCUUUAUGGGGUAAAAUGUGAGAUCUUUACAGAUCAUAAGAGCCUGCAAUACAUCUUAAGUCAGAGGGAGUUGAAUAUGAGGCAAAGGAGAUGGGUAGAACUGCUUAGUGACUAUGAUUGCAAGAUUCAGUACUAUCUGGGUAAGGCAAAUGUCAUGGCAGACGCCCUAAGCUGAAAAUCACUUGGCAGUCUAUCUCAUAUUUCAGUAGAGAGGAGGCCAGUGGUGAGGCAGUUCUUCGAGCUCAUUAAUGAAGGUUUGCAGUUGGAGUUGUCUGGUACAGGUGCUUUAAUAGCCCAGAUGAGAGUAACACCUGUGUUUCUGGAGCAGGUGGCUCAGAAACAGCAUGAGGACCCAGAGUUAGUGAAGAUUGCCAAGACUGUUCAGUCAGGCAAGAAUGAAGAGUUCAGAUUUGACAGCAAGGGGAUCCUCCGCUAUGAGAAUAGAUUAUGUGUACCAGAUGACGUGGGUCUGAAGGGAGACAUUAUGAGAGAGGCUCAUAAUGCCAGGUACAGUGUUCACCCUUGAGCCACCAAAAUGUAUCAAGAUCUGAAAAGAGUUUAUUGGUGGCCAUCUAUGAAGAGGGAAGUGGCACAGUUUGUGUCAGCCUGCGAAAUAUGUCAGAGGGUGAAGCUGGAACAUCAGAAGCCGGCUGGAAUGCUUAACCCACUACCGAUUCCAGAGUGGAAAUGGGAGAAUAUUGCUAUAGACUUCGUGGUGGGGUUACCGGCAACGUCUAACAGAUUGGACUCCAUAUGGGUGAUUGUGGACAGACUGUCCAAAUCUGCUCACUUCAUCCCUGUCAGGAGUGGCUAUUCUGUGGACAAAUUGGCGCAGGUGUAUAUUGAUGAGGCUGUCAGAUUGCAUGGGGUUCCUGUUUCAAUAGUGUCUGAUAGAGGACCCCAGUUCACCUCUAGGUUUUGGCAGAGUCUGCAGAAUGCUAUAGGUACCAGUUUGGAUUUUAGCACUGCUUUCCAUCCACAGACUGAUGGACAGUCAGAGAGGACCAUCCAGACUAUAGAAGAUAUGCUCAGAAUGUGUGUGCUGGAUUUUGGCGGUUCUUGGAGGCAGCAUCUACCUUUGGUGGAGUUUGCCUACAAUAACAGCCAUCAUGCUAGCAUAGGGAUGGCCCCAUAUGAAGCUUUGUAUGGAAGGAAGUGCAGGUCGCCUGUCUGUUGGGAAUAAGUUGGAGAAAAGGCCUUAGCAGGGCCUGAGUUAAUAGAGAUCACCAGCAGAGUGGUGCCCAUAAUCAGAGAAAGGAUCAAGACUACCGCGAGCAGACAGAAGAGUUAUGCAGAUAUCCGCAGAAGACAAGUAGAAUUUCAGGAGGGGGAUUUGGUAUUGCUCAAGGUGUCUCCUUUGAAAGGGGUGAUUCGGUUUGGGAAGAAAGGUAAGCUAGCUCCACGAUACAUCGGACCCUUUGAAAUCUUGCAAAAGAUCGGAAAUGUAUCGUAUAAGCUGGAUUUACCUACUUCUAUGGAGAGAAUCCAUCCGGUUUUUCAUGUUUCCAUGUUAAGGAAGUUCGUGUCAGAUCCGGGCAAGGUUCUUAGCGAGCCUGAUGUGGAGAUCCAGGAAGAUCUCACCUAUGUUGAGCAGCCAGUACGGAUCCUAGACACCCAGAUCAGAAAGUUGAGAAACAAGGAAAUCCCGAUGGUGAAAGUCAUUUGGAAUCACCACAACAUCGAGAAGUGUACCUGGGAGACACGGGUGUAAUACCCGGCUAGAAUCCGGCAUCGGAAUUCCUGUCGUCCGGUGGAAUCCGGGGUGUCGGACUUCUAGAGGAGGGUAGGAUUUAUGUGUUUUACUGAUUGAACUAGGUUUUGAGUUGAAAUGACCUAAGGCUGAUGAGCCAAGUUCGGCCGCCGAAGCCAAGUUCGGCCGCCGAAGGUAAGUUUGGCCACCGAAAGUGCUCAAUGUUCGGCUUCCGAAUUCAGGUUCGGCCCCCGAACGUUGCAUGGUUUUGCAUGCGCUUCGGCAGCCGAAGCUGAGUUGCUGAGCCAGCAGUUUUGUAUCCCUUAGUCAGCAUGUUGGACAGGUGUUAUCACCAGAUGAUGUCCAGAAGAUUGGCCACGUCUCCCAUACUUUAUUUGCUGAGUUUGAGCAGCUCAUGCAGAGUGUUUUGAUCGUUCACACGGGUUUGAGUGUUUUGCAGCAAAAAGCUAAGUUUGUGAGAGUUUGAGAGUUUGAGGAGAAUUGGUCCGUUUUCCCUUGUUCAGAGUGUUCAUCUUCCUGUUUACAGAGGUAAGGGAAGAGCUAGAACCUGUUUAUAUGUUCUUUGAAGGUUUUAUGGGGUUAAAGGAAAGAGAUGCAUGCUUAGGGUAGUAAAGGGAGUUUUGAUGAUUUAUGCAUGUAUACAUGUUUCUGUGUUAUGUUUGAUUUGUUGUUUGGGGUUAUUAGAUAGUUUUGGACCCCUGUGAUCAUAUACGUGAGUAUAUGUGUGGUGAGGAGUUUGAGUAUAUAUGUUUUGAGUGGUUGAAGGGAAGGAGAAGAUGGUUUGCCGUUGAAGCUGAGUUCUGGAUGAACUCAGGUUCGGCAGCCGAAGGUUCAUUCGGCCGCCGAACCUCUUGCAUGGUGGCUUAGGCUGCCACAGCUUGCCCCCGCGAGUUUUGCAUGUUCGGCUCUGUUUGGGGACUUCGGCCGCCGAAGGUGCCGCCGAAGGUGCUUGAGUUUCGUCUCUGGAGAGGACAUUCGGCCGCCGAACCUGCCGCCGAAAGUAUUCUGUCCAGCUUUCUUUUGCAUGCUUUACAUGACUAGUUGAGUGAGUUGAAAGGGUUUCUGGGGGAGUGUAAUAGAGGUAUUCAGAAGCUAGUUUGGUCCCUCAUUUUGUUUUUAUCUGUAUCUGUACAGACCAGAGGAACCAGAGAGAGCAGCAGUGAGUACUGCUCUAGAGUGUACAGAACCUGCAAGUCAGUCCAGAGCCAGAGGUGAGUGGAACUAAAUUAAUUACUUGAUUUAAUUCAGACAAUAACUGCUUUUAGCAUAUUUCAUGCAUCAUAUUUAUAUCAUAGGGUGAUUGCAUUAGAAUGCACAAAGAUGUUGCAUUGCAUCGCUUCAUUAUUGGUGUGGGUAAAUGCUGAAUGAUCCAGUAGUUCCAGACAGGAAGACCAGGACCCCAUUCUACGGCCUGGCAGGUAAAGGAAGACCAGGACCCCAUUCUACGGCCUGGCAGGUAAAGGAAGACCAGGACCCCAUUCUACGGCCUGGCGGGUAUAGGCAAGUGGUCGAUACUGGCAAAGAGUAAGUACAGGUGUUAUAUACACAUAUACUUAUAUGGUACAGGAAGUCCAGGACCCCAGUCUACGGCCUGGCACGGAUUACUGGGAUUAUGUGGUGACAGGUUUACUCUUGAUGUGGUUUGUUUGUGUUAUGACGCAUUUCAUGAGAUCAUGUUUUACUGAGAUAUUUUACUGUUCUACUCACUGGGCUAUAGAGCUCAUCCCACUCCCUUAACCCCAGUUUUGCAGGUUCAGUGUACAGUGUACAGGGACAGUCCAGCAGAGUACAGAAAAAGAAAGAGUAAAAGAGCUUGUAAUCGUAUAGAGUGGACAUGUAACUUGUAAAGAGAUGUUAUAGUUGUGUAUAACGUUAGAGUUGUGCUUGACUUAGUGAUGUAUGUGUUGUACAUGAUCUGGAUAUGUAUCU
rnacentral:lncRNA from 1 species